rnacentral:rRNA from 1 species
AGCGAACGCUGGCGGCAGGCUUAACACAUGCAAGUCGAGCGGGCAUCUUCGGAUGUCAGCGGCAGACGGGUGAGUAACACGUGGGAACGUACCCUUCGGUUCGGAACAACUCUGGGAAACUGGAGCUAAUACCGGAUACGCCCUUAUGGGGAAAGGUUUACUGCCGAAGGAUCGGCCCGCGUCUGAUUAGCUAGUUGGUGGGGUAACGGCCUACCAAGGCGACGAUCAGUAGCUGGUCUGAGAGGAUGAUCAGCCACACUGGGACUGAGACACGGCCCAGACUCCUACGGGAGGCAGCAGUGGGAAUAUUGGACAAUGGGCGCAAGCCUGAUCCAGCCAUGCCGCGUGAGUGAUGAAGGCCUUAGGGUUGUAAAGCUCUUUUGUCCGGGACGAUAAUGACGGUACCGGAAGAAUAAGCCCCGGCUAACUUCGUG